rnacentral:tRNA from 3 species
GGUGAGGUGCUAGAGCGGCCGAAUAGGUCGGUCUUGAAAACCGAUGUGGGGAUUUAUCCUCACCGUGGGUUCGAAUCCCACCCUCACCG